UACAGAGGUCCCAAGCGUUGUUCGGAUUCACUGGGCGUAAAGGGUGCGUAGGUGGCCAGGUAAGUUCGGUGUGAAAGCUCGGAGCUUAACUCCGAAAUGGCAUUGAAUACUAUCUGGCUAGAGGGUCGGAGGGGAGACUGGAAUUCUCGGUGUAGCAGUGAAAUGCGUAGAUAUCGAGAGGAACACCGGUGGCGAAGGCGGCUCACUGGCUCGUAACUGACGCUCAUGCACGACAGCGUGGGGAUCAAACAGG
rnacentral:rRNA from 1 species